GUCCGACAGGGUCAGCCCCAGAUCAGAUCAUUUUUUGAAUACAGACCUAAAGAUAAUGAGUACUUGUUGUAUUAAAGGGGACAAACAGUACUUUGGCUUCCUCUGACCCCAGAAUGCACGGCUCGGUUUCAUUGAUCAUCCUCCUUUAUGAGAUAAUGCAAUUACAAACAUCAAUAAGGGGCUGCAAGGGGAAUCAUUAUGCAGUGACAGUGAUAAAUGACGGUGCAGAAAUAGCAUGCUUUUUCCCCCCUUAACAAUCCAGGAGCCCAGGGGCUCCCGGGGCUGAACACAGUCGCCAAGGAAACAGAUGACAUCCCAAACGGCACCAAAGGAAAAAAAAUGAACAGUCUUUCUUUGCCUUUCACUCUUUUCCGUCUUCCAAAGAGUUAGUUUUGGCUGUAGCAGCAGCUGCCACACAGGCAUUUCGUUAUUUCAGACAUUAAAGACCUGAGCGGGCAGUGGAGUCUCCUCCCCUUCCAUCCCCACCCCCACUAGAUAACACACAAAGCUGGCUGUUCACAGUUUAGGACUACCUGAAAAAGCACUUCUCCAAAUCAGAUUUGGAUGGGGUGGAGGGCUAGCGGGACGUGGAUUUACGCCUUGUGUUUUCUCCGCUUUUGUCCGGGGGAAACUGGGUCUCCAGAACAAACUGGCGCCCGGAGGGUCUGCCAGAAAAGGGACGGGUGCGCGUGGCCCGCCUCCUUCUCCCUGCGGUGCCAGACGCAGCUCGCUGCGGGGGCGGGGUGCUGGAGGCUGUUAGGGGUGUUUGGUGCUGACCCGAGUCUCUCUCCGAUGGAGUUAUCAGUGGUCGCAAGAGCUCCCCUAAAAGGAAGAAUCUUGUUCUUUAAAAUCCUAGGUUACCCUCAGCGAGGGUCUUCAAAGGAGCCUCGCUGAGCAAUUACCACACUCCCAAGUCCAGAAAGGUGGAUGAGGUAGGCGGAGGCUAAUAAGCUCUGGGUCACCGAGGCAGCAGCGCCGGGACCAGCGCUUGCGGGGGACUGAGCCCAGUAGAGCCACGAGGCUCUAGGUGGAGAAAGGAAACUUUUGGGGAGAAGAGAACCGAGGAAGUGCUGAGGUUCGAGGGAGGCCUAAGAAGGAAGGCUCAGAGAGGGCAGGAGAACGUGUGCGCAAUUCCACCAUUCAAGCAGGUCGCUCGCCCGGAGAAAGCAGUCAAGGGCUCCUGACCUCUGCCCGGCGCGCCUCGGCGUGGAGCUAGGGACCCACGCGGGUACACAAGAGGCCUCGGCGGGUAGGAGCGGCCCGGGAGAGUGGGCGAAGCAGGUGACAAUAUUCACUGCUUCCCCACCGACGUUGUACCGGGACUCGUUUUCCGCAUGGAGAUUAAGAUCAUUGCUCACGUACUGAACUUAAUACUUUAGGGUAGAGCUCCUCCCGGGGAGAGAAUUUUAGGCGCAGGCGGAAAGGGGAAUCCUCCCCCUUCCUGCCAUCAGCCCGCAUCAGGCCUGGGACCCUCGCUCCCCCUCGGCUCUCUCUCGGCCCUGGAGCUCCCAGUGUCUUAUAGACUCUGCACCGACACGACCCGAGUUAUACGUGUCACCAAAGAGCCAGUGGGUGCGGGGUAGCACCGGGCAGGGGAGCGAGACCAGGAAAAAUGCCUGGCCAGGCAUGGCGCCCCGCUGCUCAAUUCCACGCCGCUCCACCCGGCUUCGAAACGACUACCUAGUAGCUCUGCAGGAUCGAGUCACGUUUUGACUGCCUCCGCUCAGGCAGGGGUCCUGCCGGGAUCCGAACGGCCAGGGAAAGUUUUCGGGACGUUAAAAGUCAUCCAGAGCUCCGGCCUCAGACUCCCGGGCGCCGCCCACCGCCCUCGGGCUGCGGCUCCCGACCCCCGCCCUCGCGCCCCGUCUGCCUGCCAGAAUCUCGGGUGCCCUGUUCCCCAAGCCCUCUAGGUCACGUUUCUAGAACCGCCUUGGCUCUGAUGUGACAGAGUCCGAGAAAUCUCGAGUCCACUGCAAAGCACGGCCAGCGGUGCCGAGGGAAGGGGCUGAGCCCUCCAGGAGGCGUCUCCCCAAACCUCGGAGCGGACCCCACGCUGCCCGGUCUCCAGAGAUGGCACCAACUAGCCGUACUUUCAGGUGGGGCGGGGAGCACGCAGGAGGCCACAGCGGGCGUCCAGCAGCAAGCUCCCCAGGUGCUCUCUGCGCGCGGCAGGGACCUGUCCGCCUCUGCCCUGCGCCCAGGCCCGACGCCGCGCGCGGUGGGGCCAAGGGGAGCUGCGUCGCGCCUGGAGCUCCUGGCAGCGGCCCUCGGGCUUUUCUCCCUGGGCGAGGAGCCCAGCCCACCACCCGACAUCCGCAACUCCUCUCCCGCCCCGGCCCUCACUCGGGGGGCGCUGCGGACAGCAAGGAGCGGGGACCGCAAAGCACGCGUGCCAUGUAGGAUACGUGCGUGAGAGGAGGGAGGGCUGCGACUUUGAUUUUGAGAAUCUUCCCACUUCCCUAGGAAGUUUGCUGGUAGGCGCCUCUGCCCCCGGUCGGAGCCUCCCACAGCCCAUCCUUCCCACCCUCCUCCCCGCCUCCGCAAGCCGAGGGAGCCGGAGACUCCUCCGGGCCAGGCUGCCCGCUGGGUCCGCGCGCCCGGGCCUCCGCGCCGCGCCCCCCGGCCUCCCCAGGGCUCCGCGCCGGGCGCCUCUCCCCGGGGCAAAACUCUCCGGCCCCGCUCGCUGCAAGGAGACACCGCUGCCUCCUGAGGAACUCCUAAUACCAUCCAUACAGCUUUAAUGCGUUUAUAAUUCGAUAAGUGAUUUCAAUUUGAAAUUGUUAGUAACUAAUUUUAUGGGUAAUUUUUCCACAUCAAAUAUUUAAGCAUCAGAUUAAAGGAGCCAGUUCCGACACAGGAUAAUAAGGGGGUUUCCCCACACACACCUCCCCCGCGCCUCCGCCUCUCUCCGUUUCCUACCGAGUCAUUUUUCCAAAUGCCCAAAAGGUGGCAGUCGAAGCCGACUUUCCUCUUUUUUCCAGGGGCUCUGCGAAGGGAGGGAGAGAGGGGAGGGGGAGGGUAGAGAGAGAGGGGGAGGGGCAGAAAGGGGGAAGGAGAAACUAAACGCCGCGUGGACUUUUCAAACUAAUUCUUUAUCACGUUUCUAAUAUAGUACAAGCAAGAAGCAGUGGUGAAUUUCCUGGAAAAGUCCUGGCCGAAAAGAAAGCCAAAAAACGUGCUUUUGUGGCCUCAGGGUAGGAGAUGUGAGAAACUCAGCACAUUCGAGCUAAACCCUUAAUUCUGAACAGAAGCGGGAGAGGGAGACUCAGAAAGGGGCCCACUGGCUUUUUGAUAUUUCUUUGUAUUUCAACAUUAUCUACAAACGCUACACAACUAAGCAACUUGAUUGUUUGAGGUCAGGGCUCUGCAAAUUACAUAAUGGGGGCAAGGGGUAGGUCUGGGGAAAGGGUGAGGGUGGGGGGCUGGCCGUCCUGGGCGGAGGGGAGACUGGGGCGAGCAGCGGAUGAAUUGCAGACCGGUUGCCAAAACUUUUUUUUCCCCUGCUGCUUCUGCGGCUGCGGCUGCCUUUGCCGCUGCCUCGCUUUGAAUGUGGGUAACUAGGAAACAGCAAGCCGUCUGAGAAGACGGAAUUUCCAACGUGUAAAAUGUUCUUAACGGAACCAUUGAGCGAGUGCAAUAAGGCGUGAGGGGGAACUAAUCUUCCCAUUUAAAUGUUUGUGGCAAUUUUAUCUAAAUGAAUUUUAAUGCUAAACGAGGGUAAUUCCCCAUUUGUAGCGCGUUUACUUCUCUUUCCUGUGCUUCUAAAGCAGUCGAAUAUCAUGCAAUGAACAAUAACAAUAAAAAUACUGUCGAGGCAUAUUAUUCAUUUUGAAUGUGUUAUAAUUACAGCUGAUAAAAUAUGAUCGGGUAAAAUAUUUUUAAUUUUUUGAAGAAAUAUUUAAACCUUACUGGAAAGUAGUCUAGUUCAGCCAGUGGCCACCCCCCCCCCCAAAAAAUAAAAAGCAGGUACAAUUGUGUGCCCUUGUUUAGAGGAGGGCGCUCUGUUUUUGCCUUUCAAGAAACAUCAGAAACACUCUCCACACUUAUUAUUUCCCUCCUUCGGAUAAGUGUCCUCAAUAACCUCAGGGCUGACUCUGAAAUUUGCAAGAGGAAAAGCUAAAAUAGUAUUAAGAGGGCAUGGUGUCAGGGGGGAGAAAGGAUCUGGGAAGAGGAAGGCUGGGGUGGGCCACGGAAACAACAGUUUGGUUUAUUUUUUAUUUUUUCCUAGUUCCUGGACACUUGGUCAUGAUUCUUCAUAGUCUCCAUAUUCCUUCUUCCUUCUCCCUACCUCCUCAGGAGUGAGUCCGUCUGUCUCUCUCUCUUCCCCGCUUUGCCCUUUCUCUUCCCCGACUCCGAAAGCACCUCCUCAAAAAAUAAAGACAAAAUAACCAACUCACCCGCCACUACUAGGGAGGAGGGGCAAAUGGACGGUUACUUUAUAAAGUUUAUUAAUUUUAAAAGUAAAUAAACGGUUGUUAACUGCUAGUAACCACCUAUCAAAAGAGAAUGAUUCCAGUAAUAUGGACUAUUUAUGUAGUGAAAGAAUUGUCUCUGGAUCAAAAUGAGAAAUUUAAACAAGCCUAUAUAUGGGGUGGGGGUGGGGUGGUGGCGCGCGAGCCCUGCGCGGCUGCAAUAGGUUCAGCCCUCCUUUCUCUCAGCGCACCCACGUGUUUAGAAACAGGGCCCAUAAACAAAAGGUGAGAGGUGCGCGCUGCUGCUCCAGCAGGUGAGCCAGUCUGUCACACAGCAAGCACCUAGUAAAGCCAGCCCGCAGCUGGUUUCUCUUUUCAAAUAGAAAAUAGAAUUGCAGAGGGCGGUUUUAUAGGGUGACAUAGGCCUGAAUGUCAGACUUGAGUUUUAGGCACUCUCCUCCAACGACCUGUCCUUUGUUUACAAAGCAAUCACUGCUAAAAGGUUUAUUUUUUAAAACGAAUUUGCCUUAAUUAAAAUAUUUGUAUAUUUCCCUUAGCUUUGGGAAGCACUUUUUAUAGCAGCAAUUUUAUUUAAAUAAAAUUAUAAGCUAUUCCAGCUUAAACAUGUUAUUUUGUACCAUUUAGCUGGCUGCCACGCAGAAAUUCUGCUACAGCUGUUCUGGAAAAUUGGUUAGUAACCAGUUUUAUCCAAUGAGAACAUAGAGCAUAUUUAUAAAAA
ensembl:lncRNA